GUGGGGAAUUUUGGACAAUGGGGGCAACCCUGAUCCAGCAAUGCCGCGUGCAGGAAGAAGGCCUUCGGGUUGUAAACUGCUUUUGUACGGAACGAAACGGUCUGGGUUAAUACCCUGGGCUAAUGACGGUACCGUAAGAAUAAGCACCGGCUAACUACGUGCCAGCAGCCGCGGUAAUACGUAGGGUGCGAGCGUUAAUCGGAAUUACUGGGCGUAAAGCGUGCGCAGGCGGUUUUGUAAGACAGGCGUGAAAUCCCCGGGCUCAACCUGGGAAUGGCGCUUGUGACUGCAAAGCUGGAGUGCGGCAGAGGGGGAUGGAAUUCCGCGUGUAGCAGUGAAAUGCGUAGAUAUGCGGAGGAACACCGAUGGCGAAGGCAAUCCCCUGGGCCUGCACUGACGCUCAUGCACGAAAGCGUGGGGAGCAAACAGGAUUAGAAACCCCAGUAGUCC
rnacentral:rRNA from 1 species